rnacentral:pre_miRNA from 1 species
GCUAGGAAGAGGAAGAAAGAGAGGGCCUAAGAGCAAUGGGAAUGAGAACAUAGAGGAAAAGCUAAUCGGUUCUGACUUGUAAAUCUUGCUUGCUAUUUCCCAAUGCCUCUCAUUUCUAUCGUUCUUAAGCACCUCCUUCCUCUUUCUUUUUGUU